rnacentral:lncRNA from 1 species
AUAUAUAUAUAGUCCGGCUAUUAUACUUUUAUGAGUAUUGACUCCCUUAUACUCAUAAGUUUUCGGCCCUUAGAUUUAUUGUAUUAAUCAUUUCUACCCGUUAGAUCAUACUAUUCAACCAACUACCCACUCAACCCUAGGGACCACUAUCAUUCUAAGUGGGAACCACCAUCAUCCUAACCACACAUCCCAUCAAUCAACGGUUAAAAAUUUAUGAGUAUAAGGGGGUCUAUACUCAUAAGAGUAUAGUAGCCCCAACCUAUAUAGAGUCCGGCUACUAUACUUUUACGAGUAUUGAGCUUCCAAUCGACGAUCCACUCCGUUAAAUAUGAUUUAGAGUAUUUGAAACUUCCAGAAAAUAAAUUCGUAAUUUUUCGAAAUCAUAAUAAAAUUCAUCAAGCGGAUAUAAAAUAAACGGUCAAAAUCGAAUGACGUUUUAAAAAUGGAUGAUCGAAUCCUUCAAUUUAAGAUCGGAGUUAUUGAUCUUUAUCUAUGUAGUGAAUAAAAUUUUCUAUCAAAAAAUCAACUAAUUUCGAUUCUUUUCCACCGUUAAAUUAGCAAAUAUUCCAUACCGGCCGUUAAAAAUUGUCAAUUUUGUGGCAUUUUGAUUGUAAGGUAAAUGAUAUUGAAAAAUUAUAAAAUUUGAUUUCUAGACGUUUUAAAUACUCUAGAUAACGUUUAACGGUGUGGAUCGUCGAUUCAAAAGCUCUAUCAUUAAAAACGGCUUAUGAAUACGAAAACGAUCGUACUCAUAAGAAUAUAGUAGCCGAACUCUCUCUCUCUAUAUAUAAAAUAAAGUUAUGAU